rnacentral:rRNA from 1 species
CGGUUGAUCCUGCCCGGAGGCCACUGCUAUGGGGGUCCGACUAAGCCAUGCGAGUCAUGGGGGUGUCCCUUCUGGGACACCACCGGCGGACGGCUCAGUAACACGUCGGUAACCUACCCUCGGGAGGGGGAUAACCCCGGGAAACUGGGGCUAAUCCCCCAUAGGCCUAGGGUACUGGAAGGUCCCCAGGCCGAAAGGGGCUCUGCCCGCCCGAGGAUGGGCCGGCGGCCGAUUAGGUAGUUGGUGGGGUAACGGCCCACCAAGCCGAAGAUCGGUACGGGCCAUGAGAGUGGGAGCCCGGAGAUGGACACUGAGACACGGGUCCAGGCCCUACGGGGCGCAGCAGGCGCGAAACCUCCGCAAUGCGGGCAACCGCGACGGGGGGACCCCCAGUGCCGUGGCACAGCCACGGCUUUUCCGGAGUGUAAAAAGCUCCGGGAAUAAGGGCUGGGCAAGGCCGGUGGCAGCCGCCGCGGUAAUACCGGCGGCCCAAGUGGUGGCCGCUAUUAUUGGGCCUAAAGCGUCCGUAGCCGGGCCCGUAAGUCCCUGGCGAAAUCCCACGGCUCAACCGUGGGGCUUGCUGGGGAUACUGCGGGCCUUGGGACCGGGAGAGGCCGGGGGUACCCCUGGGGUAGGGGUGAAAUCCUAUAAUCCCAGGGGGACCGCCAGUGGCGAAGGCGCCCGGCUGGAACGGGUCCGACGGUGAGGGACGAAGGCCAGGGGAGCGAACCGGAUUAGAUACCCGGGUAGUCCUGGCUGUAAAGGAUGCGGGCUAGGUGUCGGGCGAGCUUUGAGCUCGCCCGGUGCCGGAGGGAAGCCGUUAAGCCCGCCGCCUGGGGAGUACGGCCGCAAGGCUGAAACUUAAAGGAAUUGGCGGGGGAGCACA